CGGAGUGCAGCUCAGUGUGUGAGUGACAGCAGCUCAGUGAACACUCAGUGAACACUCCGCUCUCUAACGGUCUCACCCGGUCCUCUCUAUCCGCCUCUCCUGCUCCUCUCUCCGGGUAAACUCCUCUCAGCCUCCGUCAUGGAGCUGGACCCGGCCGUCAUCAUUCCCGCCAUCAUCUUCACCGUCGUCGCUAUUUAUUUCGCUUCGUCGUACCUGAGUAAGAAGUCCGCCGCCGCCGCCGCCUCCUCAGCCGCGAAGAAGAAGCCUCAGGUCGGCUACGGAGACACCAUCCCUCCGUCCAGAGCUCUGGGAGAGCCGCUCCGCUCCUCCGGAGCCUCCAGCGGACCCGAGCCCGAAGCCUCCCCGCCCACAGCAGCUCCUGCUCCGGCUGAGGAGGAGAUCAGAGCCGCCGAGGAGAUCCACCUGAAGGCUGUCCCAGAACCAGUAUCAGCACCAGAACCUGCCCCAGAACCAGUCAAAGUACCAGAACCAGUCACAGUACCAGAACCAGAACUCGUCCCAGAAGUAGCUGCUGCAGCACCAGAACCUAUCCCAGAGCCAGAACCCGUACCAGAACCAGCAUCAGCACCUGAACCUGUCCCAGAACCAGCUGCCGACCCAGAACCAGUAUGGGAACCCGAACCCGUCCCAGAACCGGUCGCGGUGCCUGAUCCAGAGCCCGUGGCCGAGUCUGAACCGGUAUCUGAAGCGGUCCUGGAGCCUGAACCUGAACCUGUACCUGCCGUGGAGGAGUUCUUACCCGAGCUGAUCCCUGGUUCUACAGAGGACCGCCUGCUGACCCCUGAACCUGUCAUAGAGGAACCAGAACCAGAACCAGAACCAGAACCUGAAUCAGAACCAGUGACCAUCCUGAACAACGACGUGGCUGCAGCUGACGAGGUGAAAUUCAUCCCAGGAAAGAAACAGAGCAAGUUUGAGACGAUGAUGACGAAGGAGGAGGUCGAGGAGGAGCAGAGGAUAGAGCUCACCUCUGAUUUAACCUCUCUAUAAUCAUCCUGAUGCCUCACCUGUCAGCCUCACAUGUCAGCCUCACCUGUCAGCCACACCUGCUAACCCUGCAUGCUGCCUGCUAACAACCUCAGCUAACGAGCUCCUGAAUGAGACGUCAGACGUCCUGAUUUCCUCUCAGCUGAUCAGUGAAGACGACGAAGUGAAACUUUAUUCUAUUUCUGGUGUCAGAGCUUCGAGGUCUUUCAGGUCUUUGAGGUCUUUCAGGUCUUUCAGCUGCUUGUGAAUAUCCAAUGUCUUCCCACCGACGUGCCUUCAGGAUUCUGCCUUUUGACCCGUCAGCUUGUCUUUAGUUGAGGAUGUGUAAAGCUGUGGGAUGAUGAUGUUGUGGUUGUUGUUGGAGCUUCGUUAACACAAACCCAGUGUGAAGUUGUGGUGAUUAUUAGUGAGAUAAACUAUUAAACUGUGAUUUAAAUGAGGUUUAAAGACCGACGUGUUCAACAGGAAGCUCUUCAGUCUAAAGGUCACCGUGGAGUGUUCGAGUUCUUCUGUCUCAUUUAAAUGUUGAAACCUGCAAUAAAGAAAUAAAGAAAUGAAUAAAUGUGUGAAACUGAA